GCCCUGGUAGCUCAGGGGUAGAGCGCGUCCUUGGUAAGGACGAGGCCGCGAGUUCAAUUCUCGCCCAGGGCU
rnacentral:tRNA from 1 species